rnacentral:piRNA from 1 species
UGGCCUUUAUGUCUCUGUGAACAGUGUGA